rnacentral:rRNA from 1 species
UACGUAGGGGGCAAGCGUUGUCCGGAAUUAUUGGGCGUAAAGAGCGUGUAGGCGGCCAGACAGGUCCGUUGUGAAAACUCGAGGCUCAACCUCGAGACGCCGAUGGAAACCGUCUGGCUAGAGUCCGGAAGAGGAGAGUGGAAUUCCUGGUGUAGCGGUGAAAUGCGCAGAUAUCAGGAGGAACACCCGUGGCGAAAGCGGCUCUCUGGGACGGUACUGACGCUGAGACGCGAAAGCGUGGGGAGCAAACAGG